UUUUAGUGUCCGAACUUUUAUAUUCAUAUUUAGAGAGAGAGAGAGAGUGUCCGGCUAUAGUGCUCGUAAAAGUACCAAGUAUUUAGUGCUUGUAAAUUUUUUACCGUUAGAUCUACGUCUUUUAUCAUUUUCACCCGUUAGAUUAUACUAUUCUACCAACCACCCACUUAACCCUAGGGGGCCCACAUCAUCUUAACCGCACAUUCCUUAAUCCAAAGGCUAAAAACUUACAAGCACCAAUGACUUGAUACUUUUAAAAGUAUAGAAGCUCAAUUUUAUAUAUAUAUAUAUAUAUAUAUAUAUAUAUAUAUAGUUGAGCUAGAAUACUAUUGGUAGCAAACGGACUCCGUUGCCAUCCAUUUGUUUUCGAUGAUGAAGCCUCAAAAUCGACGAUCGUCACCGUUGAACAUGAUCUAUACCACUUGAAGUAUCUAGAAAUUAAAUUUCAAAUCUUUUCGACAUUAUAAACCUAAUGAUCAAAGGGUUUCAAAAUUUACAAUUUUAAUAGUUGAUAUAAGGCAUUUUUUCGUUUAACGGUGUAAAGAUAUCCAAAUCAAUUGAAUUUUAGUUAGAAAAUUUUUUAAACUAUUUAGAACAAGAUCUAUACUCUCGAUCUUGAUUAUAAGAUUCCUAUCAUCAUUUUUUAAAGAAUAUUUAUUUUCAAUCGUUCAUUUUGUAUCAACUUGAUGGACAAGAGAACAAUAUCGGAAAAGUAUGAAAUUUAAUUUCUAGAUACUUCAAGUGGUAUAGAUCAUAUUCAACGGUACUGAUCGUCGAUUUGGAGGCUCCAUCAUCCAAAACAAAUGGGUGGCAACGAAGCCCGUUUGCUAUCGAUAGCAUUCUAGCUCAACUAUAUAU
rnacentral:lncRNA from 1 species